rnacentral:lncRNA from 1 species
UACAGUUAGCGGAAACGGAAAGGGAAGGAGGAUUUUCUCCACACAUUUCUCCUUUCACUGCUGUCAAUGACCUGGGACAUCUGCUUGGGAGAGCUGGCUUUAAUACUCUGACUGUGGGAAAAGCUCUGAUUGACAAUGUUUAGUUUGUAUAACACAUCUUAAUUGACACAAGAAGCAAGGGGCAUGGGCAAGCAGGGCCCCUGAUGUUGGAAAGGAGCCUCCAGGGAGGGAAGAAUUAACAGGCUGGAGGACUAGGCUGGGAACUGAAGAGAACCCCGGAGGCUUCACACCUGUGACUAGUGUUGAUCUUUUGUUAACUUUUAAAUGGCCUGAGUCCAUAGAAACUGCAUCCUGAGAGGUUGCUCGGCUAGAAAGCGGAAAACCGCUUCACAUGAGUGCUCUACUUUGUAAUGAAAAUAAACACUAUUAAUACAGGCAAUUGUA